rnacentral:rRNA from 1 species
UCACUCCCAACCCAUGUGAACAUACCUAUUGUUGCUUCGGCGGGAUUGCCCCGGGCGCCUCGUGUGCCCCGGAUCAGGCGCCCGCCUAGGAAACUUAACUCUUGUUUUAUUUUGGAAUCUUCUGAGUAGUUUUUACAAAUAAAUAAAAACUUUCAACAACGGAUCUCUUGGUUCUGGCAUCGAUGAAGAACGCAGCGAAAUGCGAUAAGUAAUGUGAAUUGCAGAAUUCAGUGAAUCAUCGAAUCUUUGAACGCACAUUGCGCCCGCCAGUAUUCUGGCGGGCAUGCCUGUCUGAGCGUCAUUUCAACCCUCAUGCCCCUAGGGCGUGGUGUUGGGGAUCGGCCAAAGCCCGCGAGGGACGGCCGGCCCCUAAAUCUAGUGGCGGACCCGUCGUGGCCUCCUCUGCGAAGUAGUGAUAUUCCGCAUCGGAGAGCGACGAGCCCCUGCCGUUAAACCCCCAACUUUCCAAGGUUGACCUCAGAUCAGGUAGGAAUACCCGCUGAACUUAAGCAUAUCAAUAAGUCGGAGGAAG